rnacentral:rRNA from 1 species
GACGAACGCUGGCGGCGUGCCUAAUACAUGCAAGUCGAACGCAGUGGGGACGGGUGAGUAACACGUGGGUAACCUCCCAUCAGAGGGGAUAACACUUGGAAACAGGUGCUAAACCGAUACUGAUGGAUGGACCCGCGGUGCAUUUGCUAGUUGGUGAGGUAACGGCUCACCAAGGCAGCGAUGCAUAGCCGACCUGAGAGGAUGAUCGGUCACACUGGGACUGAGACACGGCCCAGACUCCUACGUGAGGCAGCAGUAGGGAAUCUUCGGCAAUGGACGAAAGUCUGACCGGGCAACGCCGCGUGAGUGAAGAGGGGUUUCGGAUCGUAAAACUCUGUUAUUAGGGAAGCGGUACCUAAUCAGAAAGCCACGGCUAACUACGUGCCAGCAGCCGCGGUAAUUC